rfam:Stegodyphus mimosarum contig42377, whole genome shotgun sequence.
GCCUUCGUGGUGUAGUGGUGAGCACGCUCUACGAGUAACCGAGAGGUCCGUGGUUCGAUUCCCGGCGAGGGCU